UCCGCAUCUCCGCAUCGCUCCUACCGAUUUCGAGUGUUCAGGUGAACCUUCUGGACUGAGUCGCAAGACCCGGGAAGUUAGGUAAAUCUUAACACUUAGAGGAAGGAGAAGUCGUAACAAGGUUUCCGUAGGUGAACCUGCAGAAGGAUCAAGAUCGGAAUACCGUCGUGUAGGGCAUGAGUGUAGAUUUCGGUGGUCGUCGUUUCAUUAACAAAAAAACUGUGUUUACACAGAGUUGUUCCAUU
rnacentral:misc_RNA from 1 species